rnacentral:rRNA from 1 species
ACUGCAGCGUGACGAAAAGACCCAGGGAGAGUUACUGCAACUUGGUAUUGGACCUAGGAGUAUAUUGCGUAGCAUAGUGGGGAGACUUUGAAGCUUUCUUUUCGGAGAAAGUGGAGUCGCCAGUGAAAUACCCAUCUGUAUUUUCCUAGUGUCUAACCCGAUAGGCAAAAACUAUCUGGAACAGUGCCUGGUGGGCAGUUUGAGUGGGGCGCUCUCCUCCCAAAAAGUAACGGAGGAGUUUAUCAAGGUUGGCUUAGUUCGGAUGGAAAUCGAACUGGACGUGUAAAGGCACAUGCCAGCUUGACGGCAAGACGUACAUGUCGCGCCGGUGCGAAAGCAGAACUUAGUGACCCGAGAGUCCUUCAUAGGAAGGCUUGAGACAACGGAUAAAAGUUACCCCGGGGAUAACAGGCUAGUGAGAUCUGAGCGUCCGCAGCGACGAUCUCGCUCGGCACCUCGAUGUCGGCUCGCCACAUCCUGGGGGUGGAGAAGCUCCCAAGGGUUUGGCUGUUCGCCAAUUAAAGUGGCACGCGAGUUGGGUUCAGACCGUCGUGAGACAGGUUGGUCUCUAUCUGCUGUAGGCGUUUGGUAUCGGAGGAGAGCUAUCCCUAGUACGAGAGGACCGGGAUGGACGAACCGCUGGUCUACCGGCUUUGCUACCAAGUGAAUCGCCGGGUAGCUAUGUUCGGAUGUGAUAAGCGCUGAAAGCAUCUAAGCGCGAAGCCAACUCCAGGAUGAGAUACCAUUGAGCUCGAAAGGGCUCAUGACAACACGUGGGAGAUGACCACGUUGAUAGGCUCUCGGUGUACGCACAGUAAUGUGUUUAGCCAAGGAGUACUAAUGAGUUGUUGGAAAUUCCGCU